rnacentral:rRNA from 1 species
GACGAACGCUGGCGGCGUGCUUAACACAUGCAAGUCGAACGGAAAGGCCCCUUUGGGGGUACUCGAGUGGCGAACGGGUGCGUAACACGUGAGUAACCUGCCCUUGACUUCGGGAUAACUUCAGGAAACUGGGGCUAAUACCGGAUAGGAAUCCUUGCUGCAUGGUGGGGGUUGGAAAGCUUCGGCGGUUUUGGAUGGACUCGCGGCUUAUCAGCUUGUUGGUGGGGUAGUGGCUUACCAAGGCUUUGACGGGUAGCCGGCCUGAGAGGGCGACCGGCCACAUUGGGACUGAGAUACGGCCCAGACUCCUACGGGAGGCAGCAGUGGGGAAGAUUGCACAAUGGGCGGAAGCCUGAUGCAGCAACGCCGCGGGCGGGAUGACGGCCUUCGGGUUGUAAACCGCUUUCAGCAGGGGCGAAGCUUGUGGUGACGGUACCUGCAGAAGAAGCACCGGCUAACUACGUG